rnacentral:rRNA from 1 species
AUGAACGCUAGCUACAGGCUUAACACACUGCAAGUCGAGGGGCAGCAUGGUCUUAGCUUGCUAAGACUGAUGGCGACCGGCGCACGGGUGAGUAACACGUAUCCAACCCGCCGUCUACUCUUGGACAGCCUUCUGAAAGGAAGAUUAAUACAAGAUGGCAUCAUGAGUCCGCAUGUUCACAUGAUUAAAGGUAUUCCGGUAGACGAUGGGGAUGCGUUCCAUUAGAUAGUAGGCGGGGUAACGGCCCACCUAGUCUUCGAUGGAUAGGGGUUCUGAGAGGAAGGUCCCCCACAUUGGAACUGAGACACGGUCCAAACUCCUACGGGAGGCAGCAGUGAGGAAUAUUGGUCAAUGGACGAGAGUCUGAACCAGCCAAGUAGCGUGAAGGAUGAAGGUCCUACGGAUUGUAAACUUCUUUUAUAAGGGAAUAAAACCUCCCACGUGUGGGAGCUUGUAUGUACCUUAUGAAUAAGCAUCGGCUAACUCCGUG